rnacentral:rRNA from 1 species
AUUGAACGCUGGCGGCAUGCUUUACACAUGCAAGUCGAACGGUAACAGGCCGCAAGGUGCUGACGAGUGGCGAACGGGUGAGUAAUGCAUCGGAACGUGCCCAGUCGUGGGGGAUAACGCAGCGAAAGCUGCGCUAAUACCGCAUACGAUCUGUGGAUGAAAGCGGGGGACCGUAAGGCCUCGCGCGAUUGGAGCGGCCGAUGUCAGAUUAGGUAGUUGGUGGGGGAAAGGCACACCAAGCCAACGAACUGUAGCUGGACUGAGAGGACGACCAGCCACACUGGGACUGAGACACGGCCCAGACGCCUACGGGAGGCAGCAGUGGGGAAUUUUGGACAAUGGGCGCAAGCCUGAUCCAGCAAUGCCGCGUGCAGGAAGAAGGCCUUCGGGUUGUAAACUGCUUUUGUACGGAACGAAAAGGCUCUGGUUAAUACCUGGGGCUCAUGACGGUACCGUAAGAAUAAGCACCGGCUAACUACGUGCCAGCCGCCGCAGUAAGAC